CACUCUCCUUCCCCAGCCUGGUAUUUGCCACCCCCCUGUGCUGUGCCCUGUUUCCCCAGAGAAGCUCCAUACAUGUGAGCAGGCUGGAGCCAGAGCUGCGAGCUCAGAUCCAUGAGCAAAGCCCCAGCACUGAAGUGGUCUACUACAACAAGGGCCUCUGAGAGUGGGUCAGUUCCUGGCCCCUUCCUUCGCCUCCUCAGGCUGCUGCUUUAAUAGAUCCUUGCCAUCCCUGCCACUUGCCCGGCCUGGUAUUGGGGAGAGGGCUUGGUGAGGGUGCAACCAUUGAGACCAGCAAUCCACUAGGUUGGGAGAGGUGCCCCCAUAAGCCUUUUUCUCUCCUCCCUGGUUUCAGAGAGCAGGAUCACAUAUCCAUUCUCCCGUGUGUGUCCAUGUAUAUACACACCUGAUGUGAAUGUGUAUGUAUGUGCUGUCCUGAAAGCUCAGAGCAGACAUGCUGUCGUGGUGUGUCCUAAUAUCUGGCUUCCCCUCUUGGCCUUCUACCACCUGUCAGCUGGCCAGGCUACAGGACUUCUUUGCCUAAACAGUUCCUCUGGCCAAGUCGUUUCUGACAGUACCUUGCCCCAUAUGGACUCAGAAGGAGCCCCAGGAUCUCAGGACAGAGACUGAGGACACUAACAGGCCAAACUGGGCUGCAUCCUUCAGAUUUAUGCUUCCUGACUCCCAAAGCUGGCAGAGGAAGACAUAUCAGGAUAAGGGAGGCAGGGAAGUUGUGCAUCCCCUGGAACAGACCACUUCCUCUCCUCCUUUCUAUCAGAACAAAGGAGUGUCAGUAUCCUGUACCAUUCUUGCCAUCUUUCCAUCUCCCCGACAAUGCAAUGUGAGCAUCUUUAGGCACAAUCCUAGGAGUUCUUGGUCUGCUGUGACAUCACAGCAAUCCCAACCCCCUCCCCCAACCAAAAAGCCAUGAAGGCAGAACAAGUAUUCCCCUUUAAGAGCUCCCACCACACCCUCCUUCCCACCCACAGCUAUGAGAAGGUGCUUAAACUCCACAGGUAUGUGAGUGGGUGCAACUAGGAUACCCUCAAGGACAACUAGGCCCGGAGUGUACAAUCAUAAGAUGGAAUUUUGUGUUCCAUUGACCUUUGGUAGACAUUCAGCAAAACCUUGACCUUAGUUAGCUCCUCUUUCUUGAGGUUUAGACCUGCUUUUACCCUGACUCCACCCUCAAGAGGAAGAAGGGCCCAGGCAACAACAGCUGGUCCAAUGGGGAGGACCAAUGGAAUGUAUAGUGGUGAACUCACAGAAUGCAGAGUUGGACCUUGGUUCCAAUUCCAAGGACAGCUGGCUGAAGCAGUGGGUGUGGUGGGUGAAGGCCUCAAUGGAAUCAUCUAAGAGCACUUAACUGUUCCCCCCAACCAUCCCCCACCAGUGAUGAAAGUUAUGAUGCCAGUGCUACUCAAUAAACUGAAAACCUGUCUCCUU